rnacentral:misc_RNA from 1 species
AAAUAUAUAAAAUGGACCUGGAUGCUAGCCCCGAUCAUCAUGGAGGGCCAAGAAGUGGGAGAUACAUGGUGAAACGAAGAGUAAACAGAGAGCACAACACCAACUUCAAUGCCGGCUACAUCAACAUCGAUGAGCAGUAUCUCCACAGAACGGGGGUCAGAGGUCGCAGGGCUUAUCUUCUGUAUUGCCUAGUCGUCAUACUCAUUGUGUUGGCACUGCUCAAUAUUCUGAUGACAGCGGGGAUUCUAUACAUGCUGAAAGUGACCACAGCAGGAUUGGAGAUGUUGGAGUUUAUCCCUGCAGACAGUAAUUUACUACGAUUCCUAGCAGGCACCACUCUGCCUUCAGUGAAAGUGUUUCAAGGAGGAGUUGGCAGCAGGCACUCCUCAUCAAUACAGCUUGAUUCUGAUAAACAGAUUGUAUUUAAUACAUCAUCUAUCAAGAAAAAGGAUGUUGAAGGUUUAAUUGGACCAAAUAAGAUUCAGUUUCAGUCUUUGGAUGAAUUUAUUCUAGAAGAUUUGGAGUCAAAAUCAACAUUGUUCUCAACCAAAUCACAAACAUGGACCAAUGUUCAAAAUCCGGGUAUAAACCUCCACGUUCCAUCCCUCACUACGGCUCACGUAAGUUGACGACCUGAACAGGAAACUCUGUCCUCUAAACUUGGUCAGAUCAAAUAACAUAAAUUGAUGCGGCUAUUAACCCUAAACUGGCCUACAAGAGAAUGCUGACCUUGAUUUAUUACAGGCAAGAUGUCUUGGGGAAGGGGGUGUUAUAGAUUUUGUUUUCCAUUUGGGUCCAUGGCCUUUUUUUUUUGGCUUCCCCCAAUAGAUUCAGGCAUGGAUAUAGAGUUGUACAUGUAUAAUGUUUACCUUUGAUAAUUUUUAUCCAGUUGGUGUACUAAGUAAGUAACCAAAUAUGGUAAUAAAAAGAUGAGACGUACACAGUAUUCCUGUGGUAUGUGUUUCUAUGCACAUUUAAUGGUCUUAUUUAAAGAGAGAGUAUAUAAAUAUCAUCACUGUAGAGCAAUUGAUUGUACAUGUAGUUACUUUUGAGAUAUUUCUGUAUCAUAAAUAAAAUAUAUUGAAUUAUGUAAAUAAGUCAAAUGAUACCUAAUUUGAUUGUUGUUGUCUGCGGUUUUUCAUUUAGAUACAAAGUAAAACUGGAGUGGAAAGACUUGUGAUGGAAGCAGACAAAAUGUACCUGACAGGAUUUGAGGGAGUAGUGAUGACAUCAGAGAGGGAGUAUUUCCAUGCUGAUCUAGGUCGGCAUCUUUAUAUACAGUCCAAGGAUGGAGAUAUCAAUAUUGAAGCAACAAACCAUACGUUCAUCAACAAGAAUAUCCCAAAUAGCAGUCAGUUUUCACCAGUGACCAACAUCACAGUAUAUAAAGUGUGCCUCUGUAUACCAAGUGGUAGAUUGUUCAUAGUGGAACCACUGUCAAACUGCACAACAAAUAAUGUGAAUGACUGUCUGUAAAGAAGCAAUAGUAUUUGAGUACUUGGUACUUAAUUAAUAAGUAUGCAUUUGUUUAGUUAUUAACCUAAAUGCUGGAAACAUUUGAAAUCUAUGCAAAGUUUGUAUUUCUAUAUACAUGUAGUUGCAAAUGUAUUACUAUUAUUAUAUAUGUGUCGUUCUUACAGAAACUUGGUGCUAAAGUAAAUAUUUUUUGUAUUUAUUACCAUAUAUUUAUGAACUGGUAUGUAUAUUUAGAGGCAGGUACUUAAUAUUUUUUUAUGUGCGGGGGUUUGAGACUUGCAUGAGCAUAUCUUUUUAAGAAUUAAGAGGACUCGAUGGUUAUGCCAUUUUUACACUGUAUUGAUCUCCUUUAGAUGAAGAGCUCUGUAUAAAAAUACUGGAAAAUGCCUAAAUUUAAAUGUUAAAGCAUAUGGAUUUUUUCUGUAGUAAAUAGUAGUUAAUUACUUAUCCAUAUCUUAAAAUUUUUGGAAGAUCUGAUAGUUAAAUUGUUGACGAUCCAGCCCCCUUAUUUGUAACUUUAUUUGUACGCGAACAUGAAUUUGUUUACAAUAAAAAAAAAUUGCUUU